AUUGAACGCUGGCGGCAGGCUUAACACAUGCAAGUCGAACGGCAGCAGGAGAAAGCUUGCUUUCUUGCUGACGAGUGGCGGACGGGUGAGUAAUGCUUGGGAAUCUGGCUUAUGGAGGGGGAUAACUACGGGAAACUGUAGCUAAUACCGCGUAAUAUCGAAAGAUUAAAGUGUGGGACCUUCGGGCCACAUGCCAUAAGAUGAGCCCAAGUGGGAUUAGGUAGUUGGUGGGGUAAAGGCCUACCAAGCCGACGAUCUCUAGCUGGUCUGAGAGGAUGACCAGCCACACUGGAACUGAGACACGGUCCAGACUCCUACGGGAGGCAGCAGUGGGGAAUAUUGCGCAAUGGGGGGAACCCUGACGCAGCCAUGCCGCGUGAAUGAAGAAGGCCUUCGGGUUGUAAAGUUCUUUCGGUAUUGAGGAAGGGAUGUGUGCUAAUAGUAGACAUCAUUGACGUUAAAUACAGAAGAAGCACCGGCUAACUCCGUGCCAGCAGCCGCGGUAAUACGGAGGGUGCGAGCGUUAAUCGGAAUAACUGGGCGUAAAGGGCACGCAGGCGGUUAUUUAAGUGAGGUGUGAAAGCCCCGGGCUUAACCUGGGAAUUGCAUUUCAGACUGGGUAACUAGAGUACUUUAGGGAGGGGUAGAAUUCCACGUGUAGCGGUGAAAUGCGUAGAGAUGUGGAGGAAUACCGAAGGCGAAGGCAGCCCCUUGGGAAUGUACUGACGCUCAUGUGCGAAAGCGUGGGGAGCAAACAGG
rnacentral:rRNA from 1 species